rnacentral:lncRNA from 1 species
UAUGGUGAAACAACAGAAAUAAUAAAUGUUCUGAACUUUUUUAUCAUCCCUAUAGAAGCAUAAGCAAGUAUGAUUAUGCUCAAAAAGACUAAGAACGGGACUGACCUGAAUUUGUGUAAAACAACAGCCCUAUGCCUGGAGAAAGCAAGCACUGUCACCUGGAAAAGUGGUACAAUUCAGACUGUGAUGUGCUUACCAGGGUGUCCAUGUGCAGGAGGGCAGACUGCUGGGUUUUUAAAGAAAGGAAGGUUGCCAAAUCAUGGGAUGAAUGCCACUGACUUCAGCAAAGCUAAUCCUGCAUACACCAUGGUGAAGCUGAUUCCAUAAAUAACAUUUUCACUAAUGAAUGGGAAUGCAUUUCUGAAAACAGUGGUUUCCAGCCCUUCCAAUCAGGCAGGCAGACAGAGUCUGAAUGCUGCUAUCCUUUGCCUGACAAAUGACUAGACCUACUGAACAGGCACAGACCUACUAUAUAACGUGUACCUGAAACCCAGAAUAGCUUACUGUACAUGUGUUACAGAAUACAUUCACACAGAUAAAGUGUGAGGGGCCCACAAGAAAUAUGGCCAUUACAAAUGGGUCACAGGCUAAACGAACUGCUCUAAUGGUCCUGAUUCAGCACAUAUGGGAGAUUGGCUCAGCAUCCAUUUGUAGCUUAUGCAUUCCUUUGGGGAAAUCUUUGCCUUUGGGAGUAGAACAAUUUAUGAAGUCCUUGAACUGAAAAUAUUUGGAGUCCUUGGAGAAAUGUUUGCCAUGCUUCUACUGUUCUCCAGGCAUCCACUUACAAUGACAGUUGGCUUGGAUUGACCUUGGGCAGGAUGGCUGUUCUGUUCUUUUGGUCAUCUGAUGGUGCAAGAACACUAUGAGUUAAAUUACUAUAAAUCAGCUGUAACUGAAUACUGCUCUGUUUGGUUAUCUUUGAACAUAAUUUCAAUUUUCCAGCCUUACAUCAUUUGGGCUAUUAUGAAACUUAAAUAAAGUACCACAAAGUGCUAAAAAUAAACUUUGA